rnacentral:rRNA from 1 species
UUUCCCUCAGGAUAGCUGGCACUCGCUUGAGCGAGUCUCAUCUGGUAAAGCGAAUGAUUAGAGGCCUUGGGGCCGAAACGACCUCAACCUAUUCUCAAACUUUAAAUGGGUGAGAUCUCUGGCUUGCUUGAACGUUGAAGCCACGAGAAUAAUUUAUAUUGCAAUGGAUCAGAGUGCCAAGUGGGCCAAUUUUGGUAAGCAGAA